rnacentral:rRNA from 1 species
GACAUGGACAUACCUCUGGUGUACCAGUUGUCGUGCCAACGGCAUAGCUGGGUAGCUAUGUAUGGACGGGAUAAGUGCUGAAAGCAUCUAAGCAUGAAGCCCCCCUCAAGAUGAGAUUUCCCAACUUCGGUUAUAAGAUCCCUCGAAGAUGACGAGGUUAAUAGGUUCGAGGUGGAAGCGUGGUGACACGUGGAGCUGACGAAUACUAAUCGAUCGAAGACUUAAUCAA